UACGGAGGGUGCAAGCGUUAUCCGGAUUCACUGGGUUUAAAGGGUGCGUAGGCGGACAGGUAAGUCAGUGGUGAAAUCUCUGGGCUUAACUCAGAAACUGCCGUUGAUACUAUUUGUCUUGAAUAUCCUGGAGGUAGGCGGAAUAUGUCAUGUAGCGGUGAAAUGCGUAGAUAUGCGGAGGAACACCGAUGGCGAAGGCAAUCCCCUGGACCUGUACUGACGCUCAUGCACGAAAGCGUGGGGAGCAAACAGG
rnacentral:rRNA from 1 species